ensembl:lncRNA novel transcript
GGGACAUUGGGAUGUGGCCAUGGACGCAGCAGUUCCUCCAGGGACUGUCCAUGAGAGACAAGGAGGGAGACUGCAGAAGGCCUGUGGCUGACAGGGCCCUUCCUCCGCCACCUGGAAGUAGCUACUGUGAUCUCCUUCUGGGCUGGCUGGGGACAUGCAUGUCUACUCUCGAAGGGCUGUGGUCUCGUAGAACACGAAAGAAGAAAUGUGGACACAGAUCCGCAUGCAGUGAGAUGAUGUGUGAAGAGGAAGACAGACCCCAGGGUGAUGCUUCUACAAGCCAAGGAAUGCCAAAGACUGCUGGCCAUCCCUAGGAGCCAGGCGGAGGCCUGGGCCGUGCCUUCCUCGGGGCUCAGCAGGAACCAGCCCCACUUGCACCUUGGCCUGGGACUUCCAACCUCCAGACCCGGGACAGUUCUGUCAUUUAAACCACUGAGUCCAGGGUACUUUGCUAGGACAGCCCAAGGAAACCAAUGCACUCAGGGAGACAAAUAUAAGAGACGCUGUGCAGCCAGGCAGCAAAGCCUUUGCUGGGACUCGGAAAGAACCGGAAUGCUUUGAGCAUGUUUCCUUCAUAAAGUAGACUGUGUUCCUGGUAGGUGCAAUGCAAAGGAUCCGGAUGAGGACAAACCCUCCCUGGACAUAGGACCAGAGGAAGGAGGCAGGGCAUGCACAGAACUGAGGCACCCCCAGAGAGACCAGGGCCUGGGUGACUCACUGCUCUAGGGAGCCAAAGAUUGUUUCUGGUUGGUGAGCCAGGGCAGCCUAUUGGAGGCACAGGCCUUGGAGACAGCAGGCCUUGGAUGCGUGGAGGUUGGGGCGAAUGUUCCAAAGGAAACAAUGAACCCAGAGACUUGGGGGCAGGCGCACAAUGGGGCCUGUGUGUGACACUGCGUACUGUGUCACUCGGGUGGAUGUUCCCUGGAGAACAGUACAUUGUAACUGCUUCCAAAGCAAGUGAACUAUGGGUUUCAACAAACUCCUGAAUUUCUGUAUUAAAGACCCAACAGGUGAAGAACAAAGAAUUUGGAGGUAUUCUUCUGACUCAGCAAUUUCAUUUCGGAUGCAGGUCUCCUUUGCAAAACUUUUGGCAGGAUGGUUUUAUGCUUCUUACACUUUGUUUUUCAACCUCUCUGACCUUUACAUCAAAACAUCCAUCAGGGGCUUGUUCUGAGAAUCUUGGUCACUUUGAUUCUUGGCCCGAAACACUGACAUAGAACUGGUUUCCCAAAGGAUUCUGUGGAGAAGGCUGAGAAGUGUGACAGUGCCUCUUUAAUUAGAUUUGUCCCUGAACUUUGAGAAGGUCAGGAUGUUCACAGCAGGGCCCUUAACUCUUAGAGACUCAUCACUCCUGGGCAGAACAUUGGCAUGUGCUCUUCCCAGCUGUGUCCCCUCAGAGGAGACUUUUCACAGUUUUGUGUUGGGCCAGCCAUGAAAACAGAAGCUCAGCCCGUUAGUCCCAGCUCUAUGGGACCAGCUUUGAGAAAAACAGGUAAUAACAGACACUGAUUUAUUCAAGGAUGCGAUCCUUCAACAGCUUUUUACCAUAUCCACAAACACAAACUCCAGGAGGGCCUGAAGCUGAGAAGCAGAUGGGCUGCUGGGGACACAUAUUUACAGUGUGUGAUCAUUAAGCAGGGGUGUCCUCACUUCCCAAAUUCUAGUAAUCAAUACGUAUUUCCUAUGGCUGCCGUAACAAAUUGCCACAAACUUAGUAGCUCAAACCAACACAAAUGGGUUCUCUUAGAAUUCUGGAGGUCAGAACUCUGAAAUAGGUCCUAAAAUCAAGGUGUCAGCAGGGCUGUGUUCCUUGCAGAGAUGCCACAGGAGAAUCCAUUUCCCUGAUUUUUCCAGCUUCUAGAGGCCACCCACAUUCUUUGACUUGUGGCCUCUUCCUCUUCAAAACUUGUCCUGUAGUCAUCGUCCUGUCAUUUUUGACUUUAAUCUUCUUGCCUCUCUCUUAAAGAUCCUUGUGAGUAGAUUAGGCCCACCUGAAUCAUCCAGGACAAUCCCUCCAUCCCCAAAUCCUUCACAGAAUCACACUGACAAAAUUCCUUUUGCCAGGUAAGGUAUUCACAGGUUCUGGGGAUUAGGACGUGGACGUCUUUGGUGGAGGAGGGGGCAUCGUUCUCUCUACCACACCGAGACUUUGCAAAAAUGUGUUCUUCUUGGACAAGUAAAUUUGGAACAUGUUGGGUUAAAUAAAAAAAACAAACCAGGUUUCUUU